rnacentral:rRNA from 1 species
UGGGGAAUUUUGGACAAUGGGGGCAACCCUGAUCCAGCAACGCCGCGUGAGUGAUGAAGGCCUUCGGGUCGUAAAGCUCUGUCAAGUGGAACGAUGGGUUUCGAAGCUAAUAUCUUUGGAAUUUGACGGUACCACUGGAGGAAGUCACGGCUAACUACGUGCCAGCAGCCGCGGUAAUACGUAGGUGGCAAGCAUUGUUCGGAUUUACUAGGCGUAAAGGGAGCGUAGGUGGCUUUGUAAGUUGGAAGUGAAAUUCCACAGCUUAACUGUGGAACUGCUUCCAAGACUGCUUAGCUUGAGUAUAGGAGAGGAAAAUGGAAUUCCUGGUGUAGCGGUGAAAUGCGUAGAUAUCAGGAAGAACACCGGUGGCGAAGGCGAUUUUCUGGCCUAACACUGACACUGAGGCUCGAAAGCUAGGGGAGCAAACAGG